GUCCUUAUAAUUUAAAAUAGAAUUUUGUAUUGAAGAUACAAAGGUGAUAUGUAGAUAUCUAUGGGUA
rnacentral:tRNA from 1 species